ensembl:rRNA 5S_rRNA 5S ribosomal RNA
CUCUACUACCAUACCACCCUGAACACGACCGAUCUCAACUGAUCUUGUGAAACUAAGCAGGGUCAGGCCUGGUUAGUACUUGAAUGGGAGACCACCUGGGAAUACUGGGUGCUGUGGGCU